UACAGAGGUGGCAAGCGUUGUUCGGAAUUACUGGGCGUAAAGGGCGCGUAGGCGGUCUUCUAAGUCUUGUGUGAAAUCCCUCGGCUCAACUGAGGAACUGCACGGGAUACUGGAAGACUUGAGUUCGGGAGAGGUGAGUGGAAUUCCGAGUGUAGAGGUGAAAUUCGUAGAUAUUCGGAGGAACACCAGAAGCGAAGGCGGCUCACUGGCCCGAGACUGACGCUGAGGCGCGAAAGCGUGGGGAGCAAACAGG
rnacentral:rRNA from 1 species